rnacentral:lncRNA from 1 species
AUCGAAUUUUCCUGUAUAGUAUACACAGGAGUAAGAAUUUUCUCAGCGAGGUAAGAAAUGUUACGUCUGCUGUUCUUUGCCCUGCUCGCCAUCCAUAUUUCGAUCAUGGGUUAUUUCUGGUGGAUGAAAGAAGAAGUAAAGGCUUUCGACAUAAAGCCAAUAGAUGCUAUGGUGAACCAACGUUUUGAUUCUGUGCAAUCGACAAUUAAUAUAGUUGAAGCACCAGUGACGCUUUUUAUGCGGAUGACUGGAUUGCACAUAAAGCGAUUUUACUGUGACUUUUUGAGGACAGCCGUCUUGUUUUGGCCCGCUUCGUAUGGAAAAAUAGUCGUGGUUUUCGAUCAGGAAUCGUCUCUGGAUCACAAACUAGCGAACAUUUUGGAGAGACAGU